ACCAUCAUGCUUUUUAGAGGCCUCUGCUCUGCCAGCCUGGGAGUCAUCUUCACCCUCAGGCUGGUAGACUCCAGUCUCUUAGGUCAGAAUGGGAUUAGAGACCCGUUCCUGAACCAGUCACACACAGCGGGUGAAACUGCUAUGAUUGGUUUAGACUUAGAGACUGGAAUGGAUGCUGAUCCUUAGAAUAUACACAAAGUUUUCAUGGACCACACAUUAUGAAACACUGGAUUAGCGCAAAGUGAAAUGCUUCCAGAGUAGGAGCCACUAUUCUGAGGAAUCUUGGAAGAAAAAAAAACAUCGCCCAUUUCAUCUGUUUCUUCAGUCCCCAGAUAGCAGAUGACUGGUAGGAAGAUGAGGCAAGUUUGCGGUCCAUUGUCAUGGAUAGUGGAGACAACACUGGGCCAGAAGUGGUAAGACCUGAAUCCAAGACUCAGCUCUGCCACUUGCUAAAUGGGACUUUGAAUAAACCAUUUCUCUGCACUUAAGUUCCUUACCAACAAAACGAGGGAAGUGGCCUACAUGCCUAGAUAUCAACAUUUCAUGUCACGUAGAGAUCUAGCAUCACAAGAAUCCAAGUCAUCCUCUGUUGCCUUUAAGAAAUUAGAAUUAAAGGAAUCAGAAUUGAAGUGAAUCUGACUACACUAAGCCUAUCACUUGUGACAGCCAUGGGAAGAUAUCAUUGGUUGCUGAGGAGCAGAAAUAAGCAGAGACCUAUUGUGUUAGGUUAUCAUUCAUUUCAGACAAAAAGCAGAUCAGCAAGUUUUCAUAUUGCACUAUUUUCAAUGGCUGGAGCAUCAACAUUUUACAACAAGAAAAAAAUUAAAAUUCUUCAACAUUUGGAAAAGAAGUGUUUGUAAAACUUUUCACAUCCAUUCACCAUCCGGAAAAGCAAGGUUUUACAGUGAGGCCUGAUGAUGUCUAGAGUCACCAUGCAUCUUGGAAAAUGACCUCCUAUUUAUUUCUUCUACAGGACACCAUGGUGUUCACCUUUCUACAACUUUACACUUGCUGAGGACAUAUUGUGGAAAAUUAAGAGAAAUAUAUAUGGAUGGCCAAGGC
rnacentral:lncRNA from 1 species